rnacentral:rRNA from 1 species
GACGAACGCUGGCGGCGUGCCUAAUACAUGCAAGUAGAACGCACAGUUUAUACCGUAGCUUGCUACACCAUAGACUGUGAGUUGCGAACGGGUGAGUAACGCGUAGGUAACCUGCCUGGUAGCGGGGGAUAACUAUUGGAAACGAUAGCUAAUACCGCAUAAUAUUAAUUAUUGCAUGAUAAUUGAUUGAAAGGUGCAAAUGCAUCACUACCAGAUGGACCUGCGUUGUAUUAGCUAGUAGGUGAGGUAACGGCUCACCUAGGCGACGAUACAUAGCCGACCUGAGAGGGUGAUCGGCCACACUGGGACUGAGACACGGCCCAGACUCCUACGGGAGGCAGCAGUAGGGAAUCUUCGGCAAUGGACGAAAGUCUGACCGAGCAACGCCGCGUGAGUGAAGAAGGUUUUCGGAUCGUAAAGCUCUGUUGUAAGAGAAGAACGGGUGUGAGAGUGGAAAGUUCACACUGUGACGGUAUCUUACCAGAAAGGGACGGCUAACUACGUGCCAGCAGCCGCGGUAAUACGUAGGUCCCGAGCGUUGUCCGGAUUUAUUGGGCGUAAAGCGAGCGCAGGCGGUUAGAUAAGUCUGAAGUUAAAGGCUGUGGCUUAACCAUAGUACGCUUUGGAAACUGUUUAACUUGAGUGCAGAAGGGGAGAGUGGAAUUCCAUGUGUAGCGGUGAAAUGCGUAGAUAUAUGGAGGAACACCGGUGGCGAAAGCGGCUCUCUGGUCUGUAACUGACGCUGAGGCUCGAAAGCGUGGGGAGCGAACAGG